GGCGGCAUGCAAAAGUCCGGGCUAAGGAGGACCUAGAGGAUAAAUAUGAAGUCUGUAUAAGACCUCAUGUGUUUCUGAAAAGAAACCUUCGACAGUGCCAGAGGUCUCAGCCAAAAUUCCUCAAGCGCACACAGGUCAGGAAUGGGGCAGGGUCAAGACGGGGUCGAAGGUCCGCUAACCUCUGGCCUCCAAUUGGGAGCUCAAGAGCGAAGAAGAGGAGGAAGAGGUUGGAGGACUCAAUAAACAAGAAGAAAAAGAGUGAGAGAGAGGAGCAAAGGAGGGGAGGGAGACGAGAGGAGACGAGUGUGACAGAUGAGCAGGACAAAGACAGCAAGCUGCUGGGGAAGGAGCACCCAAGCUAUGACGUCACUGCAGACUGCAGUACAGAGGAAAAUGUAAACCGGCAAAGUCCAGACAGACAUAAGGACAUGAACACUGACACACAGACAAAUGGAUGCCCUGACAGGCAAGUAAAUGUCUGUCUGCUAAUGUAGGCAGUCAGCCACACUACCUUUGCUGUCAAAAGAUUGCAAAAAGAGAUUUGCAUUUCAGUAUUCAACUCCUGUGCCAACGCCAGUGUCACAGUUGAGGACAACUCUAUGGUUAUAGUUCAUUUAGCAGACACAUUUAUGAAAAGCGUCUAACAAAUAAUUAUUCUCUGAGGAGCAAAAAAAGAUCAUUAUGUAAUCAAUAUUCUGUGUAUGACUUCACAAGUGUACUGUUUCGUGUGUUGAAAGAGGAAUGGUGUGUUUACUCAAGGGUGACACACUGGUGACACCUCUCCCAUCUCUUCCUUGAUAAGAUACCUGCUCAGUAACCAUAUCAGCUUCUUUCAGUGCAUGUUAAAUACUCAAAGUCCAAUCACUCAGUAGUUUAAUUAAUUUUCAAAGAAUUGUUGAAGCUAUAUGUUUGAAAGGUUUCCUGACAAGGAGAACACUGGAAGGAAUUCCCCUCAGUACAAAAAAAGCAUAAGGGUCACCGAUUUAUCAGCAGUAACGAACAGCAUUUAUCACCAAGUAUGACAGGAGCAAUAUUCAGUGUAAAGCCCUGCACUUCUUACAUGAACAAAACUGCUUAUUACUAUUAUAAAGAAAGGAAAACACAUCACGUUCAACAAUAUUCACACAAUUUUUUUUUUAAGUCCAAAAAUAUGUAUUACUGAACUCAAAAAAAGCCUUUUAAUGUAAAUCUAGUAUUGUCAUUUUCAAAUUACAAUUUUCAAAGCUUCAGUUAACAGACUGCAACACAUAUCAAGGACAUUUAUGAAAUGGUAACUAGGGCUUCUUGUUUACCAGACAAUUGAUUUACAACAAGAUAUAUUAAUGUUUUCACUCACAUAUUGAGCACAACCAUUGGAUUUCCCUUAAGGACCAUAAAGGAGUCAAACACGGGAGCUGAUGGCUUUACUGCAGUGGUGUAAACAGAGUGAAGUUGUUCGUUCACAGCUAAUGAGUGAGAGAGGAAUCUCAUUAAAGCAGUGUCCAGAUGACAACAUUUUAUUAGUCUAUCCUCUCACCUUGGAGAAGGCUGCAGGUGUUUGCAGUUCCUCUUUACUGUGACUCAGUGACAAGAGAUUAUAUAACCUGUUCUUGCUCUUACUUCCUGUAGAGAUUGUUCAUCUCGAAGCCAGAGCCCCUUGAACACUGAUCACUGCUGGCUCUCUUCCCUCAGUUUUGCAAAUGGUACUCAUUUCUCUUCUCCGCUAAAUGGCUGUCUGUGAUCAUUUCUAUGUUUCUGUUUACAGUUGUGAUGUUACACAUUGUCUUGUACAGGUUGUGGUGGAUUUUUCGGUGAAAGACAUUAAUGUGCUGUCAGAAAAGGCAUACAUUACAUAUGGCAGUGGUAUAGGGCAGUAUGUAUCUAUAUAAGUUUCUGAGGUGAAAUGUCAGUUGUCUGAGUAUCUGAGGUGAAAUUGAAUGUCUUGUAUAGAGGAGGCUGUUGGUGGCAAGACAAAAAAAAAUCAUCACUGUAUCGCAAUGCAAUGCAUCACAAUAAAUCUGACCAUUUUGCACUCA
rnacentral:lncRNA from 1 species